rnacentral:snRNA from 1 species
AUACUUACCUGGACGGGGUCUAUGGCUGAUCAAGAAAGGUCAUGGCCUAAGUUAGUGGCUUCCAUUGCACUUGGGAGGAGCACUGGCUUACCAUCUCCUCAAGUAGGAGAGUGGGCGUCACAAUUUGUGGCAGAGGGGGUACGCGUUCGCGCGGCCCCUA